rnacentral:rRNA from 1 species
GGUGAUCUGCCCUGCACUUCGGGAUAAGCUUGGGAAACUGGGUCUAAUACCGGAUAGGAACCAUCUUUAGUGUGGUGGUUGGUAAAGUUUUUUCGGUGUAGGAUGAGCUCGCGGCCCAUCAGCUUGUUGGUGGGGUAAUGGCCUACCAAGGCGGCGACGGGUAGCCGGCCUGAGAGGGUGUACGGCCACAUUGGGACUGAGAUACGGCCCAG